AGUACAUGCAAGUCGAACGCACCUUCGGGUGAGUGGCGGACGGGUGAGUAGCGCGUGAGAAUCUGCCCUCAGGAGGGGGAUAACGGCUGGAAACGGCCGCUAAUACCCCAUAUGCCGCGAGGUGAAACGAGUUUUCGCCUGAGGAUGAGCUCGCGUCUGAUUAGCUAGUUGGUGGGGUAAGAGCCUACCAAGGCAUCGAUCAGUAGCUGGUCUGAGAGGAUGAUCAGCCACACUGGGACUGAGACACGGCCCAGACUCCUACGGGAGGCAGCAGUGGGGAAUUUUCCGCAAUGGGCGAAAGCCUGACGGAGCAACGCCGCGUGAGGGAUGAAGGCCUCUGGGCUGUAAACCUCCUUUCUCAAGGAAGAAGAUCUGACGGUACUUGAGGAAUAAGCCACGGCUAAUUCCGUGCCAGCAGCCGCGGUAAUACGGGAGUGGCAAGCGUUAUCCGGAAUUAUUGGGCGUAAAGCGUCCGCAGGCGGUCUUGAAAGUCUGUUGUUAAAGCGUGGAGCUUAACUCCAUUUCAGCAAUGGAAACUAGAAGACUAGAGUGUGGUAGGGGCAGAGGGAAUUCCCGGUGCAGCGGUGAAAUGCGUAGAUAUCGGGAAGAACACCAGUGGCGAAGGCGCUCUGCUGGGCCAUAACUGACGCUCAUGGACGAAAGCCAGGGGAGCGAAAGGGAUUAGAUACCCCUGUAGUCCUGGCCGUAAACGAUGAACACUAGGUGUCGGGGGAAUCGACCCCCUCGGUGUCGUAGCCAACGCGUUAAGUGUUCCGCCUGGGGAGUACGCACGCAAGUGUGAAACUCAAAGGAAUUGACGGGGGCCCGCACAAGCGGUGGAGUAUGUGGUUUAAUUCGAUGCAACGCGAAGAACCUUACCAGGGUUUGACAUCCUGCGAAUCCCUUGGAAACGAGGGAGUGCCUUCGGGAGCGCAGAGACAGGUGGUGCAUGGCUGUCGUCAGCUCGUGUCGUGAGAUGUUGGGUUAAGUCCCGCAACGAGCGCAACCCACGUCUUUAGUUGCCAGCAUUCAGUUGGGCACUCUAGAGAGACCGCCGGUGAUAAACCGGAGGAAGGUGUGGAUGACGUCAAGUCAUCAUGCCCCUUACAUCCUGGGCUACACACGUACUACAAUGCUACGGACAAAGGGCAGCAAACUCGCGAGAGCUAGCAAAUCCCAUAAACCGUGGCUCAGUUCAGAUCGUAGGCUGUAACUCGCCUACGUGAAGGAGGAAUCGCUAGUAAUCGCAGGUCAGCAUACUGCGGUGAAUACGUUCCCGGGCCUUGUACACACCGCCCGUCACACCAUGGAAGUUGGCCACGCCCGAAGUCGUUACUCCAACCCUUGUGGAGGAGGACGCCGAAGGUGGGGCUG
rnacentral:rRNA from 1 species